GUUCUGGUAGCUCAGAUGGCAAGGCACUGGGCUAGCAAUCCAGUGGACGUGGGUUCGAGUCCCACCCAAGACU